GCUGGGCACAAUGGUAUACACUUGUGAUCCCAACUAGUGGGGAGGCUAAGGCAGGAGGAUCACCUGAACCGAGGAGUUCUGGGCUAUAGUGCGCUAUGCUGAUGGGGUGUCUACACUAAGUUCAGCAUCAGUAUGGUGGCCUCCUAGGAGCGGGGGACCACCAGCUUGUCUAAGGAGAGAUGAACCAGCCAAGGUGAAAAUGGCAUAAGACAAAACUCCUGUGUUGGUCAGUGGUGGGAUCAUGCCUGUGAACAGCUACUGCAUUCCAGUCUGGGCAAGAUAGUGAGACCCAGUCUCU
ensembl:misc_RNA Metazoa_SRP Metazoan signal recognition particle RNA